UACGUAGGGGGCAAGCGUUGUCCGGAGUUACUGGGCGUAAAGCGCACGCAGGCGGUCUUUUAAGUUUGGAGUGACAGUUGGUGGCUUAACUGCCAAAGUGCUUCGAAAACUGACAGACUUGAGGGCUUCAGAGGGACACGGAAUUCCGGGUGGAGUGGUGAAAUGCGUAGAUAUCAGGAAGAACACCCGUGGCUAAGGCGGUUCUCUAGUACGGUACUGACGCUGAGACGCGAAAGCGUGGGGAGCGAACAGG
rnacentral:rRNA from 1 species